AAAGGUCCUGCUAAUGAGCAGACGGUGAAUCAGGAUGAACAUCAGCAGCAAGUGUACUCCUCUCUUCUUCAUGGUGAUCGUUGUGUCUAUGAGACAAUCAGAGGCUCUGAAAACACUGAAAAUGGACAACGUGGUGACCCAGAGGAGAGCUCUGACUACUAUAAUGUGAAUCCAAAUUCAGCCACAGCUCUAAAAUCUUAACAGCAGCUCUUUAGCUGUUUUUAUCUUUUUCUCUUUAAAGGAACUUAAAAACUUGACGUCACUUUGAGUGAAAAGGAGCAGAUUUUUCAUUCAAAGCAAUGAUCCUGAUAGCCUGAGUUUAUAUUUCCUUCAGAAAGAAUCCCUCAGUGUGUUUCACUCAUUUCUUAUUAGUCAUAAUAUUAAUGAACUUUAAUGUGCUGUAGAUCUGUUUUUAUGGUGAACCCCAAGUUGCUCUCUGAUGCAAGCAUUGGAGUAUGAAUGUGUGUGUGAAUGUUAGACAUUUACAGCUUAGUUACUCAUAUUCAUUGUUUGAAUAUGGGUUGUAUACAUGUUGUUGUAAACGUGUUGUAUAAACGCUUUGAGUGCUCAGAGUAGAAAAGUGUUAUAUAAGAACUAAUCCAUUUAACUAUUUCUUUAAUUUUGUCAUAUCAUAAAUUUCUUUCUUGGAAACACUUUGUAACUUUGUUAAGAAAAGUGUUCUAUAAAUGUUGUGUUGUGUUGUUGUUGUUGUGUGUCAGAGUGAGCACAUUUACAGCAGUUCAGUGUUGUGCAUAAAUCCACUGAAAGAGAGCGUUCAU